AUUUCUUUGAUCCCUCUGAUCUCGCUGAUCUCUCUGAUCCCGCUGAUCCCUCUGAUCAGUCCUCCUCUGACCUUCAUUUCCCCUGUCAAUGAAGUGGUCGAGACAUCCCUGGCGCACCAAUAACUCCAAUUGGUGCUUAAGAUGUCCACAAUAUUUCGUGUAAUGCCCGAAGGAAUUGUGAUAUUCACACAACUUAUUGUUAGGCCCUUCCUGCGGCGGCCCAGUCCGGUAGGUCCCCGGUGCCCUAAAGA
rnacentral:lncRNA from 1 species